AGCCAACUAAAAGUGUCUUCUAGAAUAAGGUGAAAGAACAGAGAGGGCAAGGAAGAACUGAGAGCAUAUGGAGGAAGGAGGUCCCAGCAGUGAUGCAAUAGAAGGAGCAUAGGAAGACAGAAGUCAGCAAAUGACCAUCCAGUGCAGCAAGCAGCGUGCUCAGUAUCAACAGGUGAGCCUGUGGGGUCCCAGUGAGGCACCUGAAUGGGAUAGAAGGGUCCUAGAAGAGGUGACAUCUGAGGAGCUGUAGCUGUGGCUUCCCCACUUGAGAGCAGGGACUUGGGCCCAGCCAGCUUUGCAUCUUCCCGUACCUGGUACAGAGCCUUUCGCAGGGUGGACAUGGAGGAACCACUGGUUUGCACUGUCACCUAUUCUGCCAUCCCAGAUGACCACUUAGCACCUGAGCAGCUGGAUUCACCUUUCUCCCACUCCCUUAUUCAUUGAGCCCUGGGGGGGUUGUCUUCCAGGGAUUGCAUCAGGAGGCCACCUGACCUCUGACUUCCUGUUGGCUUCAGCUAAGAAGGAAGGAGGAACACUGAGAGGGGACAGGAGGAGGCAGGAGCAUGCUGUCAGGGUAUUGUGUUUUUCCAGUGCCUUCUCUGUGGGCUGCUGAGGGCCUGAAGCCCCUCCUCACAGCUCUCUCCCUCUCCAAAUCCUUAUGUGACCAGCCCCACCCCCUCACUCCCCCAGGCUCCCCGAGGUUGCCAGCCCCAAAGUAUUCACUGCUUUUUUGGCUCCCCCACACCUGUCCUUGCCUGUGUAAAUGUUCCCUUCAUUAAAUUCUCCUGAA
rnacentral:lncRNA from 1 species